AUUGAACGCUGGCGGCAGGCCUAACACAUGCAAGUCGAGCGAGCGGCGGACGGGUGAGUAAUGUAUGGGGACUGCCCGUUAGAGGGGGAUAACUAUUGGAAACGGUGGCUAAUACCGAAUACUAUCGGAUAACCGAUAUGGGAUGAGCUAGUAGGUGUGGUAAUGGGUCACCUAGGCGACGAUCCCUAGCUGGUCUGAGAGGAUGAUCAGCCACACUGGUACUGAGACACGGCCCAGACUCCUACGGAGGCAGCGGUGGGGAAUAUUGCAAAAUGGGCGAAAGCCUGAUGGAGCCAUGCCGCGUGUAUGAAGAAGGCCCUAGGGUUGUAAAGUACUUUCAGUCGGGAGGCGUUAGCGGCAGAAGAAGCACCGGCUAACUCCGUGCCAGCAGCCGCGGUAAUAC
rnacentral:rRNA from 1 species